rnacentral:tRNA from 1 species
UGGGAUGUAGCCAAGCGGUUAAGGCACCGGGUUUUGAUCCCGGCAUGCGGAGGUUCGAAUCCUCCCAUCCCAG